UACAGAGGGUGCGAGCGUUAAUCGGAAUGACUGGGCGUAAAGGGCGCGUAGGCGGCCGCUUGCGUCGGAUGUGAAAGCCCGGGGCUCAACCCCGGAACGGCAUCCGAUACGGGGCGGCUCGAGACCGAGAGAGGUGAGUGGAAUACCCGAGUGUAGAGGUGAAAUUCGUAGAUAUUGGGAAGAACACCAGUGGCGAAGGCGGCUAACUGGUCCAGUACUGACGCUGAGGUGCGAAAGCGGUGGGGAGCAAACAGG
rnacentral:rRNA from 1 species